ensembl:rRNA 5S_rRNA 5S ribosomal RNA
GCUUACGGCCAUACCACCUUGAACACGCCUGAUUUUGUCUAAUCUCGGAAGCUAAUCAGGCUCGGGCCUGGGCAGUAUUUUGAUGGGAGACCGCCUGGGAAUACCAGGUGCUGUAACUU